rnacentral:rRNA from 1 species
AUUGAACGCUGGCGGCAGGCCUAACACAUGCAAGUCGAGCGAGCGGCGGACGGGUGAGUAAUGUAUGGGGACUGCCCGAUAGAGGGGGAUAACUACUGGAAACGGUAGCUAAUACCGCAUACUAUCGGAUAACCCAUAUGGGAUUAGCUAGUAGGUGAGGUAAUGGCUCACCUAGGCGACGAUCCCUAGCUGGUCUGAGAGGAUGAUCAGCCAAACUGGGACCGAGAAACGGCCCCAACUCCUACGGAGGCAACAGUGGGGAAUAUUGGACAAUGGGCGCCAGCCUGAUGCAGCCAUGCCGGGUGUAUGAAGAAGGCCCUAGGGUUGUAAAGUUAUUUCAGUCGGGAGGCGUUACCGACCGAAGAAGCACCGGCUAACUCCGUGCCAGCAGCCGCGGUAAUUC